rnacentral:rRNA from 1 species
UACGUAGGGGGCAAGCGUUGUCCGGAAUUACUGGGCGUAAAGCGUGCGCAGGCGGUUCGUUGUGUCGGCGGUGAAAGCCCCGGGCUUAACCUGGGAAUGGCCGUUGAAACUGGCGAACUGGAGUGUGGCAGAGGGGGGUGGAAUUCCGCGUGUAGCAGUGAAAUGCGUAGAGAUGCGGAGGAACACCGAUGGCGAAGGCAGCCCCCUGGGCUAACACUGACGCUCAGGCACGAAAGCGUGGGGAGCAAACAGG